CUCUGUGGAUGGCACCAUUCUGGCGGUUGCGGCUGAGAAUGUUAUUAUGCUUUAGAAUCCAGACAAGAACAUUCUCUUGUCUGUUUCAGGAGCCACUCAUACGCCAGUCACAAAGCUCUGUUUCGCUGGGAAGCCACGAGUUGUGGUGACAGCGGUUGCUCUCUCCCUGGAUGGCUCAGUGAUGCGUACAACUGAAGUGAAACUUCCGGAAGAUGGCAUAGGAGGCUUAGUGUCCCUCAAUUUUUGGGUGAACCAGACAACAAAACUUUCUCCUUAUCCACAAUCGGUUAUGAACCUCACAAGGAUGCUGGUGUCUCGGCCAUUGCCUUCCACCCUACCCGUUCCAUGGCAGUUAGUACAUCCUUUGGUGGGGACUUCAAG